GUCACUGCUCAAACUAAAGCCCAGGCCUUGACUGCAGUUCCAGCUCCAGCUUCAGUCCUGGGUCAAGCUCAGGUUUUCAAAGGUCCCUGGGCUCCCAUGAAAGCACUUCUUAUGUCUCUGUCAAAGUGAGGACAGAAGAUUUGACCUGUCUCCUGUGCUGCUUUCUGCCUGAGGCUGGUGUUCUCCUAUGCUGUUUGUACAAAUACAUCUGAGGCAGGAAACGAACAAAUAAAAAGGCAACGCCUUUUGCUGCCCCAAAUAAGUAAAUCAUUAAAAUAUCUAUGAAUUUGACAAAAUUGACAUAAGAAAGCAAUUUUUAUUAAUAUGACAUUUAUACUGUAGUAGAGGAGCAUUAUAUCAAAGUAGAGGAAUGUUUUGCAAUGUCUAGAUAUAGUGUUUGAAAAAAAGAACGACAGAAUCUUAGAUAUGAGAUUGGAAAUUAAAUUAUUGCUAAAAUAAUUUUCCAGAUGCUGGUGGAGAUUAAGUGUCUAUCAUGCUAACCGAAGUACACACUGGGCACAAAUGACAAAUCCAAUAGCUUCUGUGAGAUGCAAAUGGAUACACAAGUUUUGGGAAGACUGUGCAAUGAAAUACUACUCAACAAUAAAAAAAAAAUAGAGUGAACAACUAAAAUGUACAACAACAUAAAGGAAAGUAAAUAAUGCUGAAAUAAAAAAAAAAGUUAUACAUGUGUGGUCAGUGCCUUAGGGAAUGGAGAUACAGAGAGAGAUUGUCUAUGGAUAAGUUUAUUAUUUUGAUUUGUAUGGAUUUGUAAAUCUAUAUACUUUGAAAAUAAUGUAGUUCAUUUUAUGUUGAUUUAACCAAAUCAUGGUGUUAAAAAUUAAAAUUAAAAAAGAUGUAAUCAGCUGGAUAUGUUGGUGCAUGCCUGUAAUCCCAGUAGCUCAGGAGGCUUAAAGAAGAGAAUCAUGAGUUCAAAGCCAACCACUACAAUGGGCAAGGUGAUAAGCAACUCAGUGAGAUCGUGUAUCUAAAUUCAAAUACACAAUAGGGCUGGGGAUGUGGCUCAGUGGUUGACUGCCCCUGAGUUAAAUCCCUGAUUACAAAAAAAAAAAAAAAAAUCAUAUAAUCAUAUACUUUAAACACAGUUUUCUCAAAAAGUAGGAAAGAGCACCAUAGUCUCAAUUCAUUUUAUAAGACCAUAGUUAUCCUGGUAUCAAAACCAAAGACAUUGCUAGAUAAUGUAAACUAUAGACCAAUAUUCUUCAUUAACAUGUAUACAAAAGUCCUCAAUGAAAUAUGUAUUAAUAAAAUCUAGUGACACAUAAAUAGACAAAUAUAUCAUGACCAAGUGUUUAUGCCAAGAAUACAAGACUAGGUUAUCAUUCAAAAAUCAAUCAAUUAAUUUAUGAAAUUAAAUUCUAAAUAAGAAAAACCUACAUGAUUAUCUUAAUCCAGAAAAAUCAUUUGACCAAAUCUGGCACCUGUUU